rnacentral:rRNA from 1 species
UUGGUGAGGUAAUGGCUCACCAAGGCGACGACGGGUAGCCGGCCUGAGAGGGCGACCGGCCACACUGGGACUGAGACACGGCCCAGACUCCUACGGGAGGCAGCGGUGGGGAAUAUUGCACAAUGGGCGAAAGCCUGAUGCAGCGACGCCGCGUGAGGGAUGACGGCCUUCGGGUUGUAAACCUCUUUCAGCAGGGAAGAAGCGAAAGUGACGGUACCUGCAGAAGAAGCGCCGGCUAACUACGUGCCAGCAGCCGCGGUAAUACGUAGGGCGCAAGCGUUGUCCGGAAUUAUUGGGCGUAAAGAGCUCGUAGGCGGCUUGUCACGUCGGGUGUGAAAGCCCGGGGCUUAACCCCGGGUCUGCAUUCGAUACGGGCUAGCUAGAGUGUGGUAGGGGAGAUCGGAAUUCCUGGUGUAGCGGUGAAAUGCGCAGAUAUCAGGAGGAACACCGGUGGCGAAGGCGGAUCUCUGGGCCAUUACUGACGCUGAGGAGCGAAAGCGUGGGGAGCGAACAGGAUUAGAUACCCUGGUAGUCCACGCCGUAAACGGUGGGAACUAGGUGUUGGCGACAUUCCACGUCGUCGGUGCCGCAGCUAACGCAUUAAGUUCCCCGCCUGGGGAGUACG